CGAUGACAACAGUCAAGCUGAUGAUAAUGCUUUGUUCUUCUCUUCUCGCUACUUGCUACUCCAGCAACCCGACGGAACAAUUCCUUAAAGACACGGAAACAAGACCAAUCCUUCUCUACGAGUGCUACCAGAGCGGAAACAGUAUUGAUGCGCCAGGAACCAUUAACUUUACUGCUCUCUAUGACGGCACGAGUCAAGCAACGACACUAAUUGAAGGUGUCACGUGGGCAGCAACAAAUGGAAGUACUGAAUCCUACGUUGUUGGUGCUUUUCUGGCUCGCUACGAUGCGGAAAGAAGUACCGGAGUGAUCUAUACCUAUAGUG